ACGGGUGAGUAACACGUGGGAACAUACCCUUUGGUUCGGAAUAACGCUGGGAAACUAGCGCUAAUACCGGAUACGCCCUUUUGGGGAAAGGCUUGCUGCCGAAGGAUCGGCCCGCGUCUGAUUAGCUAGUUGGUGGGGUAAUGGCCUACCAAGGCGACGAUCAGUAGCUGGUCUGAGAGGAUGAUCAGCCACACUGGGACUGAGACACGGCCCAGACUCCUACGGGAGGCAGCAGUGGGGAAUAUUGGACAAUGGGCGCAAGCCUGAUCCAGCCAUGCCGCGUGAGUGAUGAAGGCCUUAGGGUUGUAAAGCUCUUUUGUCCGGGACGAUAAUGACGGUACCGGAAGAAUAAGCCCCGGCUAACUUCGCGCCAGCAGCCGCGGUAAUACGAAGGGGGCUAGCGUUGCUCGGAAUCACUGGGCGUAAAGGGCGCGUAGGCGGCCAUUCAAGUCGGGGGUGAAAGCCUGUGGCUCAACCACAGAAUUGCCUUCGAUACUGUUUGGCUUGAGUAUGGUAGAGGUCGGUGGAACUGCGAGUGUAGAGGUGAAAUUCGUAGA
rnacentral:rRNA from 1 species